rnacentral:rRNA from 1 species
GACGAACGCUGGCGGCGUGCUUAACACAUGCAAGUCGAACGGAAAGGCCCUGCUUUUUUGGGGUGCUCGAGUGGCGAACGGGUGAGUAACACGUGUGUAACCUGCCCUUGACUUUGGGAUAACUUCAGGAAACUGGGGCUAAUACCGGAUCGUAGCUCCUGCUGCAUGGUGGGGGUUGGAAAGUUUCGGCGGUUGGGGAUGGACUCGCGGCUUAUCAGCUUGUUGGUGGGGUAGUGGCUUACCAAGGCUUUGACGGGUAGCCGGCCUGAGAGGGUGACCGGGCACAUGGGGACUGAGAGACGGACCAGACUCGUACGGGAGGCAGCAGUGGGGAAUAUUGCACAAUGGGCGGAAGCCUGAUGCAGCAACGCCGCGUGCGGGAUGACGGCCUUCGGGUGGUAAACCGCUUGCGCCUGUGACGAAGCGUGAGUGACGGUAAUGGGUAAAGAAGCACCGGCUAACUACGUG